UGGGGGAAUCUGGACAAUGGGCGAAAGCUGAUCCCAGCGACGCCGCGUGGGGGGGAUGAAGCCUCGGGGUGUAAACCCUGUUGUGAGGGAGGAAUAAGGCCUGGAGGGAAAUGCCAGGCCCGAUGACUGUACCUCGCGAGGGAAGCCCCGGCUAACUACGUGCCAGCAGCCGCGGUAAUACGUAGGGGGCGAGCGUUACCCGGAUUCACUGGGCGUAAAGCGGGUGUAGGCGGCUCGGUAAGUCGGGUGUGAAAUCCCACAGCUCAACUGUGGAAUUGCGCCCGAAACUGCUGAGCUUGGGGCCGGUAGAGGGAGACGGAACUGCCGGUGUAGGGGUGAAAUCCGUAGAUAUCGGCAGGAACGCCGGUGGGGAAGCCGGUCUCCUGGGCCGCGCCCGACGCUGAGACCCGAAAGCUAGGGGAGCAAACCGGAUUAGAUACCCGGGUAGUCCUAGCCGUAAACGAUGCCCACUAGGUGUGGGGGAUUAAUUCCUCCGUGCUGUAGCUAACGCGUUAAGUGGGCCGCCUGGGGAGUACGCCCGCAAGGGUGAAACUCAAAGGAAUUGGCGGGACCCCGCACAAGCGGUGGAGCGCGUGGUUUAAUUGGAUGCUGAGCCAAGAACCUUACCAGGGCUUGACAUGCAGGUGGUACCGACCCGAAAGGGGAGGGACCCCAUCCUUUUGGAUGGGGAGCCUGCACAGGUGGUGCACGGCCGUCGUCAGCUCGUGCCGUGAGGUGUUGGGUUAAGUCCCGCAACGAGCGCAACCCCUGCCCUUAGUUGCCAUCGGUUCGGCCGGGCACUCUAAGGGGACUGCCGGCGACGAGCCGGAGGAAGGAGGGGACGACGUCAGGUACUCGUGCCCUUUAUGCCCUGGGCUACACACGCGCUACAAUGGGUGGUACAAUGGGUUGCGACCCCGCGAGGGGGAGCCAAUCCCUAAAACCACCCUCAGUUCAGAUCGCAGGCUGCAACCCGCCUGCGUGAAGCCGGAAUCGCUAGUAAUCGCGGAUCAGCCACGCCGCGGUGAAUACGUUCCCGGGGUU
rnacentral:rRNA from 1 species